GAGGCAUCCUCGAACGCAGCCCUCCCUGUUUUCCCUUUGUGUUGCAUGCUCUUCUUUGGGGUUCCCAUUUCCUAUGGGGAGAAGAAUGUGAUGAUGUUGAGCCCGGAGCGUAUUUCCAUCUGAUCCGUAAUGCGAUUUCCAGCCUGGUGAUCCUACGCUCCUGCCUGAAAUGACGCUGGUGCUUGUAGGAGGUGUUUUUCCCUGGACUGUGAGACUAGUGAGAUGCUGAAGCUGAACACGGAGCAGAUUUGCGGCUGAUUGCCCUGAUUGGAGCCUGGGAUGCGCUGUGUCCAAGCCAAGCAUCUGAGGGGUGCCAGCUCCAUUGCUGCCAGGGCUGGGAAAAGCACGGCCGUGCGUGGGGCUCCCUGUGGCCUCCUCAGUGGGACAGCCUUUCACUGCUGACACGUGUCUCAGAGUGCCAAGGUCACAGCCAAAAGGUGUCUCUGAUGAAGAUUUGAGUGUGCAACUCAGCAAGCUGCUCGUGAAGAGAGGUCUAAAUGAAACAGUCCCUCUGAUGACGCCACGAAUCUGGGAAUGAAGAACUUCUUCAAGCUGAUUGGAAAUGGCAUUGCGGAGCUGAAACUUAACUGGAGGAAAUAUAUCUCCCGAAGAAGGAAAUAUAAUGCACUUUAAAGAUCUGACUUCUGGUGAAAAAUUCAAGCCUAGAGAAAACUUGUCCGCGUUGUUCGGAAGAAUGGGUUGGACAAUUUUCUUCAGUUCCACAGGAUAUCUGAGUGCCAUGCUGAGCUUGAUCUCUGCAGCAUGCUCUGUGCUUCUCAUCUCUUCCUGAUGCACUGCAUGAUUAUCCUGAAGGGGAGGAUAAAGAAACUGGCCACCAAGAUGGUAAUCACUAGUGGAAAUGAAGAAGACAAAGGCAGUCAAGAAAAGGAAAGCAAAGAAGAAACCAUCUUGGCAAUGCUUGGAAUUAUUGGGACAAUUCUGAACCUCAUUGUGAUCAUUUUUGUGUACAUUUACACAACGUUGUAAACUAGCAGGCAUGCAAAUAGAACAGAUAAAACGGCCAUUAAGAGUGACAACAAACAUUGCUGACUAUUGACAAGUUGUUUAAUCAGAAUUGACUCUGUAUUAUAUUAACACAUCAUAAAAGCACUGCCUGCAGGCAGCGAAGGCUGAAGCACAAUUAAUUUAACAAGACUUCUUCACGCAGUAACAAGCUAAACUCUUCUGUCCUGCCCUCUUCCUUUUGCUUUGGUUUCUGGUUUGGGGGAAACAUGACUGCAAUUAUGUAAGUUGUAGCUUUGAAGAAAUCCACCUGGGUUAUGUUAUUUUAACACAAUUAAAGAAAAAAAAAGGAAAAAAAAAAGAAAAAAAAGAAACUGUACACUAUAUACAAUUAAAAAUGUAUACUGUAUACCUGCAAAGAUGGAAUUCUAAGAUAGCUACAUAGCACAGAUCACGUGUCCAUUAGGUCAAAUGAUAUUUUUUCUCUUGAUUUAUGCUUUUACUUACAUUGAAUCUGACAAGCUUUUUGUUUAGAAUGAACAUAUGGUGCAAUCAUGAAAAAAAACAAUUCUAUUGAGCAAAAUCUGCCUAAAACUGAUAAGAUGUUGGGAGAAAUGCAGUAUGUGGUUAUUUUAACUUUCUCAUUUGCUUAACAUCUGUGUCUGUUCAUACCAAUGUUUAUAAAUAUAUAUUUUUAAUAAAUGUGCUAUAUUUU
rnacentral:lncRNA from 1 species